UCCGGAUUGGUGUAAUGGUAGCAUAACGUGUCUCACAUAGUAGAAAUGCUAUGCCCCUCAGGGGACGUCGGUCUUGGUUCGAUUCCAAGGUCUGGAC